ACCCUGCUUGGUUCCACCCUGAGCAGGAACCAUCUGUUUGUGGCGGGAAAGGUCCUCCUGGGCGCACUGGUUCAGGCCAACCACAUGGACGAGGCCAAGUUCAUCCGUACUUAUAACGACUUUGUGGACUACCUGAGUGACCCCUCCAAGCGGAAUGACAUUGAGAGGGAGCUGGCUGAGGCAAAGAUCCAUCAUGUGAACAUGAUAGAUGUCCUCUUUGAGCUGGUGCUGUUUGGGAUGAUGACAGCUCAGAAGUCCCUGAUGGUG